rnacentral:rRNA from 1 species
GAUGAACGCUGGCGGCGUGCCUAAUACAUGCAAGUCGAGCGAACAGACGAGGAGCUUGCUCCUCUGACGUUAGCGGCGGACGGGUGAGUAACACGUGGAUAACCUACCUAUAAGACUGGGAUAACUUCGGGAAACCGGAGCUAAUACCGGAUAACAUGUUGAACCGCAUGGUUCAACAGUGAAAGACGGUUUUGCUGUCACUUAUAGAUGGAUCCGCGCCGCAUUAGCUAGUUGGUAAGGUAACGGCUUACCAAGGCAACGAUGCAUAGCCGACCUGAGAGGGUGAUCGGCCACACUGGAACUGAGACACGGUCCAGACUCCUACGGGAGGCAGCAGUAGGGAAUCUUCCGCAAUGGGCGAAAGCCUGACGGAGCAACGCCGCGUGAGUGAAGAAGGUCUUCGGAUCGUAAAACUCUGUUAUUAGGGAAGAACAAAUGUGUAAGUAACUAUGCACGUCUUGACGGUACCUAAUCAGAAAGCCACGGCUAACUACGUG